AUUGAACGCUGGCGGCAGGCCUAACACAUGCAAGUCGAACGAGUGGCGGACGGGUGAGUAAUGCUUGGGAAACUGCCUUAUGGAGGGGGAUAACUACUGGAAACUGUAGCUAAUACCGCAUACCAUCGGAUGAGCCCAGGUGGGAUUAGGUAGUUGGUGGGGUAAAGGCUCACCAAGCCGACGAUCCCUAGCUGGUCUGAGAGGAUGACCAGCCACACUGGAACUGAGACACGGCCCAGACUCCUACGGGAGGCAGCAGUGGGGAAUAUUGCGAAAUGGGCGCAAGCCUGAUGCAGCCAUGCCGCGUGUAUGAAGAAGGCCUUCGGGUUGUAAAGUACUUUCGGCAGGGAGGCGUUACUUGCAGAAGAAGCACCGGCUAACUCCGUGCCAGCAGCCGCGGUAAUUC
rnacentral:rRNA from 1 species